rnacentral:rRNA from 1 species
GAUGAACGCUGGCGGCGUGCCUAAUACAUGCAAGUCGAGCGAACGGACGAGAAGCUUGCUUCUCUGAUGUUAGCGGCGGACGGGUGAGUAACACGUGGAUAACCUACCUAUAAGACUGGGAUAACUUCGGGAAACCGGAGCUAAUACCGGAUGAUAUUUUGAACCGCAUGGUUCAAAAGUGAAAGACGGUCUUGCUGUCACUUAUAGAUGGAUCCGCGCUGCAUUAGCUAGUUGGUAAGGUAACGGCUUACCAAGGCAACGAUGCAUAGCCGACCUGAGAGGGUUAUCCGCCACACUGGAACUGAGACACGGUCCAGACUCCUACGGGAGGCAGCAGUAGGGAAUCUUCCGCAAAGGGCGAAAGCCUGACGGAGCAACGCCGCGUGAGUGAUGAAGGUCUUCGGAUCGUAAAACUCUGUUAUUAGGGAAGAACAUAUGUGUAAGUAACUGUGCACAUCUUGACGGUACCUAAUCAGAAAGCCACGGCUAACUACGUG